GUCAUUUGUCCACACAGCCUGACUGUUUUCCUCACUGGCACUUGCUGUUCAAAGUAAAAAGUUCAAUGUGAUCUUCCUCUUUCUGUUUAGAAGACAGCAACCUCAGUGAAGCUUGUCCUGCUUGUUUCGAUGACUGGUCCAGUCCACAGACAUAGUCAAGUCUCCCACUGGAAAUCAUGUUUCUGAG
rnacentral:lncRNA from 1 species